rnacentral:lncRNA from 1 species
AGGGACAUGGAUGAAGCUGGAAACCAUCAUUCUCAGCAAACUAUCGCAAGGACAAAAAAACAGACACCGCAUGUUCUCACUCACAGGUAUGAUGGCAUAUUCCUGUGGUACCAGCUACUUAGGAGACUGAGGUGAGAGAUACAGCUUGAGCCAGGGAGGUUGAGCCUGCAGUGAGCCGUGAAUAUGCCACUUCACUCCAGCCUGGGCAACAGAGCCAGAUCCCAUCUCCAAGGGAAAAAAAAAACCACUCCUAGAUGAUUACUCUAGAAUAGAAUCUAUGUCCUCAAGGAGCCAUGAAAGGGAACUCAAAGGAUUUCAGGAUUGGCAGGCAUAAGCUGCAGGAAUCUUGGUUAUCUUUCCACUGCACUCUCAUUG